ACCAAAGCCAAAUUGCUAUUGAUUUCCCCAAAUAGCAUUGUCCACUAAGGUAGUAGCACAUAAAGGAUAAAGACUAACAAUGGAGUCAGGAAAACUUUGGUUGAAGAACUGCCUUGAUCACCUAUGGGCUACGUAUACAUGACUAUGGGCAAAUAAUUUUUGGUGACUCCAGGUAACUCUAUAAGACUAUAAAUUAUUUAUAAUAAUGUUGGUGAAUUUACAGAUCUAAACCAAAAAAACAACAUUAAGGAGGGAACACUGGAUUUGUUAUCAAAAGUCUUGGAUUCAAGUAUAGAUUCUGCUAUUUAAUGCCUGUAUUAUCUCAGGAAAAUUAACUUUUCAGAACCUCAGUUUCCUCUUUUGUAAAAUGAGGAGAUUGGACUACAUGAUCUUUGAAGUGUCUUUUCCUGAAAUAAUCUAAAUUUGAAGGCUACUUUCUUUUCUACUAUGUUCUACACAGCCAAGGUCUCUUCUAGCCCAGACAUUCAGAGUUCAAUACCCUGUGGUCAAUUUUCUCCAUUGUCAAAUGAAGAGCUGGACUAGAUGAGUCCUAUGUUCCCUUUCAUCUCUAAAUCCUAUAAUCAUGGCUGUCAGAAGUAGUUCUAGUAGACAAAUUACAGACUAUUCACUUGAAACUACAAUUAACUAUCCGGCCUGGUUUCCCAUUUGUUAGACCUUCAGUUCUCAAGCAAAAGCUAUAUUGUGCUCCUGGAUCUUUUGUUUUCGUUUGUUUGCUUUUUUGAUAAGUACUCCCACUCCCAUCAAAGACAUUGUUAGCAAAGUACCGUACAGAAGAACGUUGACUCUGUGCUCAUCUUUCUCUUUCAACUCCUCCUCCUCUUCCUCUUCAUCAUUAUCACCAAUCCCUUCUUGUCAUCAGUUAUCAAGGAUUCUAAGAAAUAGAAUUAUCAUUUGGAGACUUUAUGAGUGGGGCUCAAGGGUGUACAAUGAUCCUCUUGUAGUAUCUGUAGCUAUAUUGACUCGACAGUUGUUAAAAUAAAAUAAAACCUCAAAGAGCAUAUAGUACCUCUGAUUAGGGACAGACUCCACUUGCCAUUGACAUCAAUAGGACGUGAAUGCGGAUGGAAGGCAGUCAAUCAGGAAAGUAAGCUGAGGCGACUGGGAAGGCACUUAGGGUAAAACAAGGCCCUGAGUUGUUGAGAAUAACUCCAUUUAGAAUUCCAGGCAAUAUCUCUCCCUGGAGCACUUGUCACCCUGUGGCUCUGAGGUAAGUAUUCCUGAAAGCCUCUCUUGGCCAGUUGCUUCAAUAAACAAAAGCCUAAUGACUGAUUUGUAUCUUAAAGAAUUAUCUGUAUCUGAAUGUAUCUGUAUCUUAAAGAAUUAAUGGAAUAAAGGGUAACAAUGGGGCAGGGAAAAACGGGAACCAGCAAAAUUUCAGGGGGUGUCGGCAGGCAGGAUUGUUGUAUUCAAGCAUGGGACCUUUGGUGGACUCAAGCUUUAAUUGUUAUUUUACUGGAGGAAGAUUUAUAAAGGCAGAGGGUUGGUUUUUAUUUAUUUAUUUUUUUGCUUUGUUUUGCUUUUUUUUUUUUAAGGAUUUAAAGACUUUUGAAUGUUCAGCCAAUUAAAAUCUUUGGCCACUGAAGUGCUCCAUGACUAGAAUGAAGAGUCUUUAAUGAACUGGAGACCUUCUUUCUCCCAGGCUUAGCUGCCUCAAUGACACCGAAUGUGUGCUCCUGUAACAAGCCAUAUGAGGGAGGGGUAUUAAUGGUUGAUCAAAUCCUCUAAUGAAGGGAUCAUUUUCCUUUUGGUCUUCCAGGAAUUGGAAGAGAAGAUAAAUAGGACUUCAUCCCAGGGAGAAGGGAAAACUUUGGAUAAGAGGAGAACUAGAAGAUGAAAAGACUUUUUCAGCUAUCCAACUUCUGGGUUUCAGUACAAGCAGCCCAACUCAAAUGAAUGAAAUAACAGCAGCUGCAGCUGACCAGAAGCUUCUUUGCUGUCCAGUUUUGCCAAGAGAAUGAACGGACCUGCCUCUGCAAAGAUUUAUGAGAGAUGCAUCGCUCAUCCCUUCUUCAGGUCCAGAUUUAGAGAUAAGGACUCGCGCUGGGAUUUUGUUUGGCACCUUUCCAGCAUGUUAUGGACCAACUUAGUUCCCUAAAGCACAGCGUUAAGUAGUUUACCCAGUUACCUAUCCAGGAUAUGCUAAGGUUUCUUCAUCUCUGAGUGACCUGACAUUUGAGUUUUGGGAUCUGUAAGAGUGAGAGCACCAGACCUGAAGAAAAGCUCUGCAACUCACUACCAACGUGAUCUUGGCCAAGUUUCACAUCUCUGGUCCUGAUUUCUCAUCAUGAAGGGAAGGAUUAGAGAUAAUAUCUUCCAAGGUCCUUUCCAACUUUAGAUCUCUGAUGACAAAAAACCU